AGGGCUUUAUUCCCCAGUUUUCUGGGGCUAAAAUGGGGAUGCAGGAGAAGCUGCCUCUUGGGAUUUUGGCUAGUUAGACUUCUUGUGUGGGUCUGGCAAAGAGAAAGGGACUGCAGCCGAAAUGUUCGGGAAGUUGGGGAGGGUGGGGCUAUCUAGCAAUCUUUGACUCACUGGGGUAACUCCCUGAACACAGGAAUUAAAUUAUUACUCAAAGCAAGCUAUGUUUUAUGAGCAGCAGCCUUAGGAUGGAAUUCUGCAUGCAUAUGGAGUAUGGAACAACUGAAAUGUAUGGAAAUACAUAUACAAGACAAUGAAAUUAUUGGGUGCAAUGCAGAAGUCCCUGGGUGAUAGAAGAGGUGGGAUUAUGCAGUGAAGCCAGUCCAGGAAUCCAUGGACAAAUUUUCUUAUUUCUACCGAUAUAAUCCUGACUGACAUCAGCUCAGAUAGGGGAAGAAUCGAACCCCAUGGAUCUAAUCUUUGGGAAAAGUAGGCUGGAUUAGAGAGACUGUAUCUGCCAAGCAUCCUUUCACUCCCUCGCCAUCACAGCAGUGUGCAAGAUUUUGCCAUCACACAGACCAAUUUAUGUCUGCUGUCUUUUUGUGUUCCCUUUUUUUGCUUCCCAAAAAUGUUUGAAUUUUCUUUUUUUAUAAAGUUUUGUUGCAAACACAUAAUUUCUUUACACAAUUUCACCAAGUCUUUAGAGGAUACUUAUUUCAAGCAGUUAACACCUGACCCCAAUUUUUGUGGGUAAUUAGUGAGCUAGAUAACCACACAAAGUGGGUAAUUAUUUAGCACCCAAGGGUACUGUACAAGAGGGUAGAGGCUUGCUAUGUUAACAAAAGCACAUCUCUAAUUAUUGUAUCUAUACUGGUGAUGUUUUAAGAAUAGUUACUCCAUCUAAUGAUCCAUGAUAAAUCAGUAAACUACUUUGCUUCCCUUAGCAUACAUGUGUGGGCUAACCAGGGGCAGGACGUGAGGGCAAAGCAAAUUGAAGCCCCAACUUUGGAAUACGCACAAGAGAAGCGAGAGGCAUCCCCCUUGGAGAAGGUAGUAAGACUGGAAGUGUCUGCUCCACAACAGCAGCAGCAGAGCCUAAGAGCCAUCACUAAAUGCUAACAGGUUGGUUGAGACGACUUGAAAAGCCAUGUAGGAAGAAGCCUGUAGAGUGUGCCUCAGGGUCUACUUCUUGCUUAGGUAAUGUGGCUGGGCUGAUGCAUCUUUGUAUACAACAAUAACCCUAAUCAUGUUUUAACCGAGUUCAGUCUUGCUCAUUGAAAAUCGCUUUGAAAGCUGUACAAAUGAGGUGGUUCGUGUUUGUGGAAGGUCAGGGCUGAAAUGCAAGAGAGUAGCACUGGGGGGAAAAGAAUGAAUGAAUUUCAAUUAUCUGCCAUCUCCAAUAUUCAUGUUGCAAAAAACACAUUUCUCCCAUGGAAAACAUUACAUCCUCAGUAGAUCCUCCCCCCCUCCCCCCAAAUUUAAGAAGGAAGAGAUGGGAACUAUUUUGAAAUAGAAACUAAAUGAAAAAGAUUCAACUACCAAAAACCAGUUUUGGUCAUCGGAACCAUGUGAAAAGAAGGGUUGCGCUGGAAACAGAGCC
rnacentral:lncRNA from 1 species